UUUGAAUCAUGGAUGUUAGUUUGUUAAUUAACAACUAAUUAACAGAAUUUGAUAAUCUGUUCAUCUAUGCUAAUUCAUCAAAAUAAUUCAGAGACCUUUUGGAAAGAGACAAAUCUGAAUAUAGGAAAAUCUAGUUAGAAAUCUGUGCUAAUAAUUUUGGUGAGUCCUACUGUGUACUUGAAACGAGGGUAUAUGAAUAUUUAAGGGACAAAGAAAGAUGUUGAAUGAGAGGAGGAGUAAGGGUUGAAUAGGUGUAUUGGUAAGUUUGCAGUGGUGUGCUUGCAAGACGGAGUAGCUUCUGCCUGAAAAUUUCUAGUGUCUCAAGAGUGGAAGUCUAGAGUCAUCUGCUGAGAAUGAGAGGGAUCGAGGAAGUUGAGUCAUGUGGUGAAGGCUGAAAGUCAUCAUUAUCGGAAAUAUGAAAACACUCUCCUUGAUUCAUAGAAUUUCCAGGCAACCCAAGAUCUAGAGGAUUCAAUCCAUACGGUCUUACCAUCUUUAAUCUUUAUAGACAGACACAGAAAUUUAGGUUUAGAAACAAUUGAUUAAAGACCAAGCAAUGGGAUUUAAUCAGGGAUGGAGUUUUAAAGGCAGAGGCAAUAAAAGGGGAAGGAAGCUGAAGACAUUAGCAAGAGAGCACAGGAUAGUAAGGGUAUUGAAGAUAAAUAGGUAGAACAAUCAUAAUCUACAGAUCAGAAAAGAACAGGGCUAGGGAAAAAAUGGAUGUUUGAGACAGAGGGUGACGUUAAAAAUGUCUCUCACUUUUCUCACUUAAGUUACUGAAAUGCUGCUUAUGACAUCAGUCAAGAUGGGGAGCAGGAGAGGAGGAACAGGUUUGAUAUGAAUAAGAUUUUUAGAAGGAAUUUUGAGAUCCUGUCAAGAAAUCCAUGAGAAAAAGAUAAAUAAGCAUGGAAAUGAGUGAUGGAGACAAAUGUACAUUUGGAAAUCAUAAUGAUAUGGGUUAUCUAUGAAGUAAUAAGAAUAGUUAAGAUCACCAAGAAAACAUGGAGAAAAAGAAAAAGCUUUACAAGGAGACUGUCAUAGAAAAAUAUUCACGGAAGACAGGCAAAGCAGGAAGUGAGCAAGAAGACAGAAGGAAAAGUUAGAGAGAGAGGAGAAUACUCAAGAUAAAUGGUAUUGAGAAAAGAACUUAUGACAAAACUGAGUAUAAGCAUAAGAUCAAUACUCUAAAGAGUUCAAGCAGAUGGCAUUCAAUAAAAAAUAGAAUAUUUGGUUUCCUAGUAGGCUUAGGUUCUUUCUAAGAAUCUCUGAAGCUCUUUUCUAAAACCCAACCCAAUGGAACCAAAUGAGAAGAAAUAAAAACAUAAAAUUCUUUUUAAAGACAAAUUACUUGGAUUCUGCAUUUGAACAAAGACAAAAGGAAAAACUAUACACAAAUACACACAGUUAUUUAGUCAUUCUAUGUUUAAAUAUCCACAUCAUAUUUCAUUUAAUGAUUUUAAUUACAUGAACUCAUAGGGGUUAAGAAAUUUGAAUUUGAGUUGCUCACAUUAAAAAGCUGUGUAACCUUGGAUAAACUGCAGAAUCUUCCUUAUUGGCAUUCCUUCCAGUGAAAUAAUGAAGACAUUCAUUCUUAAUAUGACUCAGUUAAUUGUCAUAAGUUAGAGAAGAAGUUAAGUCAAGUAUUCAGGAGUAUUACAUAACUGGCACAUAUGCUUGAUUAAUUUGGCUACAUUUUUAUAUGUCCUUUUAAUUGUUUAACACUAAAAAACAAAAGCAAAAAUACUCUCAAGUUCAUCAGUAAUUCUAGAUUGUUUUUAAAAAAACACCAAAUAGGGGGCUGGCCCCAUGGCCUAGUGGUUAAGUUCAGUACACUCCACUUUGGGGGCCCAGGUUUGGUUCCAUGGGCACAGACCUACACCACUCAUCAGCAGCCAUGCUGUGGCAGUGACCCACAUACAAAAAGAGGAAGAUUGGUGCAGAUGUUAGCUCAGUGCGAAUCUUCCUCAUCAAAAAGUGGAAGAUUGGCGGCAGAUGUCAGCUUAGGGCGAAAUUUCCUCAGCAAAAAGACAAAAACAACAACAACAAAAAACCCCACCAAACAAAUAAAUAAAUACAUAACAAAAUAAAUAAAUAAAGGGACACAAAGGGUAAUGGAAUGGAUAUAAUAUUUCUCUUAACUCCUCUUAUGACUUUCUCUUAGACCCUUGGCCUUGUUCUGAUGCUAAUUUACAUUAUAGAGUUGACAGUUUUCACAUGGAUCUUGAUAGGUCAAUCACAUAGUCAAAACCCAAAGUAUGACAAUACUGUAUCUGAAAUCUAUAACCCUUCACAAAGUAGCAUCACUAAUAAAAUACAUUGAUUUUAUACCAUGAGAAGUAAAAAGUUCGUCAUCAUAUUGAGAUAGAUUGGAAGAGGCAAUCCAUUCCUAUGUAGGCAGACAUCUGGAGAUGUUUGUCUUCACCAUACUGAUCAUCUCUAGCAUUGAUUAUGCUUAUUAUAAGCAUGAUCAGAGUACAAAGAUAGGGAAUAUUAUUUUAAAGCAAGUCCUUUUUUUUUCCAGAAGUGUAGAUACUGCAUUUAACAUUAAAGAAUUAGGCUAGAGGCUGAAUUUGAGUUUUAUAAAAUAAACACCAGCCCUUAUUCACCUCCGUCUACUAAAUCCAGUUGUUAAGGGAAUCAGCAAAUUGAAGAACAAGUUAGCAUGAAAAUGAAAUAAAAUUACCUUGGCUAAUGGUUUGUGAAGGAAGCAAACGCAGGGGCUCAUCUGAACCUUAGCUGUGUCAAUUACUUAGAAGAAAAGCUAACAGGCUAUGUCUCAAAACACUGCAAAUGGUGUUAGUGGGCUAAGCAAAGGAAAUUGAACUCCAGAUGCUGCAGGAGUCAAUGACUUUGCCAAAAUUUUGAUCAGAGGCCUACACUUGGCAAUUGGAGUUUAGCAUGGGUAAGUGGAAUUUGCAUAAUAAAAUUUAAAUAUUAAUUGUAUCCUCAUGGUAAAAAACAAAUAAUGCAAACAAAAGAUAUUAGCUUAAUUAAAUGAACUUUAAUAUAUUUUUCUUUUAAAUUUAUAUUCUCAAAGACAGCAAAUGGAUUGGCAAAUGGACUCAGAAGAGACAAAUCCUAACUAAUUGUGUCCUGCAUAUAUUACAUUUUUACCAACAGUGUUAACUUUUGUUUGGAUUAAUUAUGUAUGGGCUAAAUAUUUCAGCUCUAAUAAUAGACACUGAUAUUUUGACAGGCCUAAUAAUAAGCCCAAUAUUUUGAAAGGCAACAAAACAUGAAGUCCAAAGAUUUUGUAUCAGCUCUGCCACGUGUGAGACGUUUGAUUUUGGGCAACCUGUUUAACCAUUUUUGGUCAGAGUUUUCUCAUCUCUAUAAUGAGACUCCAAUUCAAAAAUGUAAGAAGUUGAUAUUGCACAGAGGUCCUGGAAGCUGUGUUCAUAUUAUUUUCCAGUCUUUUUUUUUCUGUUUUCUCAGAUUCUAUAAUUUCUAUUGACCUAUCUUCAAGUUCACUUACUCAUUCCUCUGCCAUCUCCAUUCUACUACUGAGUCAUCUCGUAUUUUGUCAUUUUAGGUACUGUAUUUUCCAGUUGUUUAAUUUACAUUUGUUAAAAAUAGUUCAUAUUUCUUUGCUGACAAGUUCUAUAUUUCCAUUUGUUUCCAGAGUGUUCCCCUUUACCUUAUGAACCUGGUUAUAAUAGCUGCUUUAGAGUCUUUGAGUAACAAUUAAAACACCUGGGUCAUCUCA